GAUGACCUGAUAUCUGAAUUGAGAAAUUCAAUACUGUUUUAGUUGUUUAUCUAACCAUAAACGAUCGAUGGUAUGCACUUUUCUCAUAGUAGGACAUUGCGAUCCAUUAGUAUGUUCUUCUGGAACGGCUUAUCAAACGGCCUGCGUAGUCAGUUUAGCCUAUCUGCAAUCCUUGUGGUUGUAUGGUUAAUGCUAUUGCGGUGACCUGGUAAGCAGCUGAUGGAGCUUGACAAUCAUGCCACCAUGCAAAUGUAUCGCGGCCUCGAUCUAUUUCGAUAGCUUGGGGUGCAGUGAUCGCAUGUAUUUGAUUAGCAAUGCGAUAGAUUUGGGAUACCUUCGGGACCCGUCUUGAAACACGGACCAAGAAGUCUAACAUGUGUGUAAGUCAUUGGGUAUGUUGUUGAAACCUAAAGGCGAAAUUAAAAUAACUAUUAUGGGAUUACAAGCGGUCUCUAAUGACCGUUUCUCCAUCCCGGGGCGUUCCAUCAGAACAUGGUUCGAGCAAUCGGACCCUCUGUUCUGGAGCGUACCUUGAACAUACAUGCUGUGACCC
rnacentral:rRNA from 1 species